rnacentral:rRNA from 1 species
UAAUACAGAGGGUGCAAGCGUUAAUCGGAAUUACUGGGCGUAAAGCGCGCGUAGGCCGUUGGGUAAGUCGGAUGUGAAAUCCCCGGGCUUAACCUGGGAAUUGCAUUCGAUACUGCCUGACUAGAGUGUGGAAGAGGGAAGCGGAAUUUCCGGUGUAGCGGUGAAAUGCGUAGAUAUCGGAAGGAACACCAGUGGCGAAGGCGGCUUCCUGGUCCAACACUGACGCUGAGGCGCGAAAGCGUGGGGAGCGAACAGG